AGAUAGAAGAAAUAGAUAUGCCGAGGAUCCAGCAUGAAGCACAAGAGCAGGCAUCUCUAUGGAGUGUUAACGAAUUCGAU
rnacentral:tRNA from 1 species